rnacentral:rRNA from 1 species
AUUGAACGCUGGCGGCAUGCCUUACACAUGCAAGUUGAACGGCAGCACGGGUGCUUGCACCUGGUGGCGAGUGGCGAACGGGUGAGUAAUGUAUCGGAACGUGCCCAGUCGUGGGGGAUAACGUAGUGAAAAUUACGCUAAUACCGCAUACGAUCUAUGGAUGAAAGCGGGGGACCGUAAGGCCUCGCGCGAUUGGAGCGGCCGAUAUCAGAUUAGGUAGUUGGUGGGGUAAAGGCUCACCAAGCCGACGAUCUGUAGCUGGUCUGAGAGGACGACCAGCCACACUGGAACUGAGACACGGUCCAGACUCCUACGGGAGGCAGCAGUGGGGAAUUUUGGACAAUGGGCGCAAGCCUGAUCCAGCCAUUCCGCGUGCAGGAUGAAGGCCCUCGGGUUGUAAAGCUCUUUUGUCAGGGAAGAAACACCGGCUCUAACACAGUCCGGGAGUGACGGUACCUUCAGAAGAAGCACCGGCUAACUACGUGCCAGCCGCCGCAGUAA